rnacentral:rRNA from 1 species
CACUGGCCAUGCAUGUCUAGUAUGAGAGGUUUGAAUACUCUGAAACUGCGAAUGGCUCAUUACAUCAGUAACAAUUUCUUUGAUGGUCCCCUUGCUACUCGGAUACCCGUAGAAAAUCUAGAGCUAAUACGUGCACGAAGGCCCGACCCUCGGGAAGGGCUGCAGCUAUUAGAUACAAGACCGACCGCCUUUGGCGACCCCCGGUGAAUCAUGAUGGCUUUGCGGAUCGCAGAGCGCCUCGCGCGCGGCGACGUAUCAUUCAAGUUUCUGCCCUAUCAACUUUGGACGGUAGGAUAGAGGCCUACCGUGGUGGUGACGGGUGACGGAGAAUCAGGGUUCGAUUCCGGAGAGGGAGCCUGAGAAACGGCUACCACAUCCAAGGAAGGCAGCAGGCGCGCAAAUUACCCAAUCCUGACGCAGGGAGGUAGUGACAAUACGUAGCGAUGCCGAACUAUCAGUUUGGCAAUCGAAAUGAGGGCAAACUAAACCCCACACCGAGGAUCUAUUGGAGGGCAAGUCUGGUGCCAGCAGCCGCGGUAAUUCCAGCUCCAAGAGCGUAUAUAAAAGUUGCUGCAGUUAAAAAGCUCGUAGUUGGAUGUAGACGGUCGCUCGCGAGGCGGUCCCGGGUUCUCCCGGAGCACCCCUUCGGCGUCCUCUGGCUGGCGAGCGUCGCGGCUGGGCUUCACCGCUCGGCCGCGGGCCUCGCCGUGGUUACUUUGAGUAAAUUGGAGUGUUCAAAGCACGCGUUCGCCGUGGACACGUUAGCAUGGAAUAACGGCACAAGACUCUGGCCUGUCCCGUUGGUCUGCAGACCGGAGUAAUGAUGAAGAGGAACAGUCGGGGCAUUCGUAUUUCGUGUCAGAAGUGAAAUUCUUUGAUUUACGAAAGACGAACCACUGCGAAAGCAUUUUGUCAAGGAUGUUUUCGUUAAUCAAAGAACGAAAGUGGGGGCUCGAGACGAUUAGAUACCGUCCUAGUCUCAACCGUAAACGAUGCGACU